UUUUUUAUCUGAGAAGUUUGCAAACUUGGGUCAUUUAGAGGAAGUAAAAGUCCGUAACAAGGUUUCCGUAGGUGAACCUGCGGAAGGAUCAUUA
rnacentral:rRNA from 1 species